CUUCUUUAGUCACUUUUCAAAAUCCCUAAAUCAAAAGCACCUCUCCAUAAAACACUCUCUAGCCCCAAGUCUUUUACAACAGCAAAAUACCAAUUUUUUUGCAAACUAAGUCAAGAACGGGAAGAAGUGUUAUAAUCGGCAUCGACAAGCUUUAAAUCUCGUCUUCAGCUCUUUAAAAUUGGAAAGGUAAUCCUGACAUUGAAAUGGAUAAAUUUCUCAUCAAGCUAAAUUUUGGCCAACCAAGUUCUAGUUUUAGUCGGCCAUCUACGAGUUCACAAAUAAAU